rnacentral:rRNA from 1 species
AGCGAACGCUGGCGGCAGGCCUAACACAUGCAAGUCGAACGGAUCCUUCGGGAUGAGUGGCGGACGGGUGAGUAACACGUGGGAACGUGCCCUGUGGUUCGGAACAACUCAGGGAAACUUGAGCUAAUAUCGGAUGUGCCCUUCGGGGGAAAGAUUUAUCGCCAUUGGAGCGGCCCGCGUCUGAUUAGCUAGUUGGUGAGGUAAAGGCUCACCAAGGCGACGAUCAGUAGCUGGUCUGAGAGGAUGAUCAGCCACAUUGGGACCGAGACACGGCCCAAACUCCUACGGGAGGCAGCAGUGGGGAAUCUUGCGCAAUGGGCGAAAGCCUGACGCAGCCAUGCCGCGUGAAUGAUGAAGGUCUUAGGAUUGUAAAAUUCUUUCACCGGGGACGAUAAUGACGGUACCCGGAGAAGAAGCCCCGGCUAACUUCGUGCCAGCCGCCGCGGUAA